rnacentral:lncRNA from 10 species
UUUCCAUACCCAGAAAGAUGAAUCAAUGGAGGUCAAUGGUAGGCAGCCUCAAGAUAGAUCCCAGUGAUCCCCCAUCUCCUGAUAAUCACACUUUUGAGUAGUCCCCUCUCACACUGUAUCAGGGUUAGUCUGUGUGACCAAUGGGACAUAGCAGAAGUUAUGGUUUGUCAUUUCCAAAACCAAAAGGUGCUGAAGCUUCAUAUUUGCUCUCCCUGACCCACUCACUCUGGGUGAAGUCAGCUGCCAUGUUAAAAGGACGCAUUUGGAACUCUGUAAAGAAGUCCAUGUGGUGAGAAACUGAGGCCUCCUGCCAGUAGCCCUUUAGGAACUGAGUCCUCUAGCCAACAGCCAUGUGAAUGAGCCAUUGUGGAAGUGGUUCCUCCAGGCCUGGCCAACAUCUUGACUGCAACCUCAUGAGAGACCCUGAGUCAGAACCCUCCCACUAAGCUAUUUUUGGAUUCCUUGGCCCUUAACUGGUGAGAUUAAAAUGUGGGUUUAGGGGCAGGGGGGGCAAUUUGUUAUGCAUCAAUAGAUACAGAUUUUGGUACCAGAAGUGAGGUGCUGUCAAAAGUAAUAUCUAGAAAUGUAGGCGUGGCUUUAGAACCAAGCAAUAAGCAGAAAAUAGAAGGAUAUCGAGGACAGUGUUAGCGAAGGCCUGAAGAGCUUCAACAAAACUGCUGGUGGAUGCAUGAUUAUCUUUGAGGAGGCUUCAGAUGAGAGCAUAAAGGAAAUUGAGGAAAAACUUACUGGAAAGUAGAAGAAAGGAGGGUCCUUGUUGUAUUGUGGCAAAAAGUUUAGCAACACUGUCACCUGUACUUAAUGAACUGGAUCUAGCUAAAGAGAUUACUAAGCUAUGUGUUAAAGGUGCCACCUGGUUUCUUGCUGCUUAGAGUAAAAUGUGAGGGGAGACAGAUAAGCUAAAAGAAGGACUGCUACACAUGGAGGUGCCAGCACUUGAUAGUCUUAAAAUUUUUCAACCUCCCAAGAUGGCAAUCAAAGCUAAAAUUAAGAAAUGACUUCCUGGGCAGGUGCGGUGGCUCACACCUAUAAUCCCAGCACUUUGGGAGGCCAAGGCAGGUGCAUCACAAGGUCAGGAGUUUGAGACCAGCCUGGCCAACAUGGCGAAACCCUGUCUCUACUAAAAAUACAAAAAUUAGCCAGGCAUGGUGGUGGGCGCCUGUAAUCCCAGCUACCCGGGAUGCUGAGGCAGGAGAAUGGCUUGAACCCUGGAGGCAGAGGUUGCAGUGAGCCAAGGUCAUGCCAUUGCACUCCAGCCUGGGCAACAAGAGCAAGACUCUGCCUCCAAAAAAAAAAAAAAAAAAAAAAAAAAAAGGCUUCCUAACUUGGUAAUAUAUUGAAGGAAAAAAUAAAUAAAAAGAAAUGUCUUCCAUCCAUGAUCACUUUCAGGACACUGCAGGAAAAAAUGGUCAGAAGAUGAAGCCAAGAGUCUAGCAGUUAAAGCCCUUUGUUAAGACCUCGGAAGGCUCUAAGGUCUUCCUUAAAGAGCUGAAUUUAAGGAAUUACACCUGAGGCAUCUCAUCAGCUCCUAAAUUAGAUGAAAAAUGUUGGAACUCGCUCUGAUGCUGUGAUGAAAUGAUAUUUGGGUGUCCUUGGGAGAUGAGUGAGUGUAUUUUGCAUGUGGGGGGAAUAUAAAUCAUUAGUGGACAGAGGGUGGAUGGUGCUUGUUUUUAAAUGUUCACAGAUUGUUUGUACACCUCCCUCCAAGUACAUAGUGGUACACAGUAGACAAGUACAUAGUAGACAUAGUAGUACAUAGUAGACAUAGUAGUACAUAGUAGACAAGUAUAUAGUAGACAUAGUAGAGUACAUAGCAGACAAGUACAUAGUAGACAUAGUAGUACAAGGUAGACAAGUACAUAGUAGAUGCAGCAGCAAGUAGCAAGUACAUAGUAGACAUAGUAGCAAGUAGCAAGUACAUAGUAGACAUAGUAGGAAGUACAUAGCAGACACCCUGCUGAGGGUUGUCAGCUGUCCCUACAGCAGAGUGGAGGUAAGGUAGUCCAGUGGUUAAGAACACGGGUGUUGCAAUCAAGCAGAACUGGGUGAGAAUCAGGCUCUGACACUCCUUAGCCCUGUGACCCUAGGCAAGUGACUUCCUUUCUCUGUGCCUCCAUUUCCACAUCCAUAAAAGGGAUAAUCCUCACCUUUUCAGGAUUAUUGUGAGGAUUCAAUAAAAUACUGUAUUUAAAUUACUUGGAGUAGGGCUGGGCAUGGUGGCUUAUGCCUGUAAUCCCAGCACUUUGAGAGGCCAAGGCGGGCAGAUCACUUGAGGCCAGGAGUUUGAGACCAGCCUGGCCAGUGUGGCGAAACCCCAUCUCUACUAAAAAAAAUACAAAAAUUGGCCAGGCAUGGUGGCAUACACCUGUAAUCCCAGCUACUCAGGAGGCUGAGGCACAAGAAUCACUUGAACCCAGGAGGUGGAGGUCGCAGUGAGCCAAGAUCGCGCCACUGCACUCCAGCCUGAGAGACAGAGCGAGACUCCAUCUCAAAAAAAAAAAAAAAAAAAAAAUUACUUGGAGUAGGCUCUGAAACACAGUAAAUGCUCAGUAAAUAGAAGAUACCAUUAAUACAUGGCCGUGUGAAGUUACAGAAAGAACAAGGGAGCCAGGUUCAGGUUCCACCAUGUGAGGUUAUAAUGAGGAUUAGAUAUGAUGUGCCCAGCACAUACAAAGCAGUUCGUAACUGUUCACUUUCUUAGUGUCCACUCUCUCUAACAAUGCUGUGGUUCAUACACACAGGUUGCACCUAAUAAACUCCUUCCAUAUUUCCAGGUUUUCAAACUACAUGGAAACAAACAGCAUAGAUAAUAUUCUCUUCCUGGUUCCAUGUAUGUCUGUGCAUUUCUAUGCUAAAUAGCACCACAAAGACACACUAUAGUAUAAUACUGAUAGAAAAGAGGCCGGGCACCGUGAUUCACACCUGUAAUCCCAGCACUUUGGGAGGCUGAGGCAGGCAGGCGGAUCACCUGAGGUCAGGAGUUCGAGAUCAGACUGGCCAACAUAGUGAAACCCUGUCUCUACUAAAAAUGCAAAAAAUUAGCCAGGCGUGGUGGCACACGCUUGUAGUCCCAACUACCUAGGAGGCUGAGGCAAGAGAAUCGCUUGAACCCAGGAGGCAGAAGUUGCAGUGAGCCAAGAUCGAGCCACUGCACUCCAGUCUGUGCAACAGAGUGAAACCCUGUCUCAAAAAAAAAAAAAGGAAAGAAAGG